GGGAAAAGAAAAGUUGUUAAGGGCAGUGUGGAUAUGACUUGAAUUUUUCAUCAGUAUCUUCCAGAUUUCACCUAUGCAAUACUUUGGAACUUAAUAAACAGACGAUGUUGGCAACCAAAACAUUUACUGGUCACUUUGGAGGGAUGGGACUAUGCAUCUUUAACCUAGGCUCUCAACACUAUGGUAUUUAUUACUAGGGGUGAAGAAUUACCUCCUUCCAGCUAGUUUUCCAAUAGUUCCUACUUCAAAAAGGAAUUAAGGUUGGAAACAACCUCUUUGUGGCCAGAAAGUUGGUGAGCCUUUGAUUUAAGAUUAACUUUUUAACUUGGUGAUAAAUUCAAACCCAUCAAGAUCUUCUGCUGAACCUAAUUCUUCCCAUUAGUAUUAGUUUUAUAACAGAAUUGUACUAAUAUCAGAUUUUUGCUUGACACCAGUUUAAGUUAGAACUGAAAGAACAAUCAACUCCAUGUCUCUUGAGUACGUGUUGCACUUAACCACAGAAAAUUUGGGGGGUGUCAUUUGUCAAACUUGUACAACAGUGAAUGGUGUGUAGGGAAAUGAGACAACCUUUGGCAACUACUGAUAUGGAAAUAAUUGUGUGUAUCGCUACAAUGUGAUCUUUGGUUUACAUUUUUCUCAGAUUAGAUUGAGGAAAAAGGACAUGCCAUCCUAAAUAUAUAAGCAGAACAGGAAACUCCCUUAAAGAUGUCAUUCAUAGAGGUGUUGAAUAUCACUUAAGCUCAAGCACACAUAAUUUUGCUUAAGCCAGAAGAAUUUGGUGUAUGAGCUCACAUUGCUUUGUAGUUCUAGAGAAAAUCUAAGUGCAAUGUCUAAGCUAGCAAUGUGAUGGCAGGACCCUAUUCUUCUUUUUUGAUAAUAAAAAAGCAACAGAUUAUCCUCAUUGGAAUUCCUUAAACCUUGCUAAAUCUUUGGCUGAGACAGAUCUUAAAAUAUUUUAUUUUGAAAAGCAAAGUUUAUCCACA